rnacentral:rRNA from 1 species
GAUGAACGCUAGCGGUAGGCCUAAUACAUGCAAGUCGAGCGGCAAGUUGAGAAGCAAUUCGAGACCUAGAGCGGCGUACGGGUGCGUAACGCGUAUGCAACCUACCUCAUACAGGGGGAUAGCCCGGAGAAAUCUGGAUUAAUACCCCAUAGUACAUAUAGAGGGCAGCUGAAAUAUGUUAAAGAUUCAUCGGUAUGAGAUGGGCAUGCGUCUGAUUAGCUAGUUGGCGGUGUAACGGACCACCAAGGCGACGAUCAGUAGGGGUUCUGAGGGGAAGGUCCCCCACACUGGCACUGAGAUACGGGCCAGACUCCUACGGGAGGCAGCAGUAGGGAAUAUUGGGCAAUGGUCGGAAGACUGACCCAGCCAUGCCGCGUGCAGGAAGAAGGCCCUCUGGGUUGUAAACUGCUUUUAUCUGGGAAGAAAAGGCCCGUGCGCGGGACAUUGCCGGUACCAGAUGAAUAAGCACCGGCUAACUCCGUGCCAGCAGCCGCCGUAACAC